rnacentral:rRNA from 1 species
UACGGAGGGAGCUAGCGUUGUUCGGAAUUACUGGGCGUAAAGCGCACGUAGGCGGCUUUGUAAGUUAGAGGUGAAAGCCCGGGGCUCAACCCCGGAAUAGCCUUUAAGACUGCAUCGCUUGAAUCCGGGAGAGGUGAGUGGAAUUCCGAGUGUAGAGGUGAAAUUCGUAGAUAUGGGGAGGAACACCGGUGGCGAAGGCGGCCACCUGGACGGUCACUGACGCUGAGACGCGAAAGCGUGGGUAGCAAACAGG